UACGGAGGGUGCAAGCGUUAUCCGGAUUCACUGGGUUUAAAGGGUGCGUAGGAGGGCAGGUAAGUCAGUGGUGAAAUCCCCGAGCUUAACUUGGGAACUGCCGUUGAUACUAUCUGUCUUGAAUACCGUGAGGUGAGCGGAAUAUGUCAUGUAGCGGUGAAAUGCUUAGAUAUGACAUAGAACACCAAUUGCGAAGGCAGCUCGCUACACGAAUAUUGACUCUGAGGCACGAAAGCGUGGGGAUCAAACAGG
rnacentral:rRNA from 1 species